ACGUUGAUGGGCAGUACAUGCUAUAGCAUUCGAAUUUUCAGACUCAUGGAACAUAAUAAGUCAAACUGAUUCAAAAGGGGGUGAAUGCUAAAUCAGUCACAUCCAUCAACGUGUAAUUGUCACUCCGUCACUUACCGCGCCCUCCGUCGUAUUUUUUUAAAAAAAUAUUCGACUCGCCGCUUACGAUAAGGCUCACUAUAGCCGCCACCGAUUAUCAGGUUGCUCGUUGAAUUGUAUUUUAUUGGCCGUACCGACCCGUACGAUCAUCGCGAAACCCAGUAAAUUUGAAUACGCGUUUGUGUUUUUUUUAUGUUUGGAGUUUGCAAAAAAACAAGUGUAUAACCGACAUCAAUAUAUUGAAUAUAAAAUCCGAUUGUCGAAUCAAUACCGAACAACAAGUACGUACGCACAUUAUAGGUGAUACCUUUAUAUGUUAUCGCGACGCACGGCCAACUGUUGAUUAAUCGCCCCGUGGGAACGUGUAUGCGAUAAUAAUGCAAAAAUAUUGAUAUCAUAUUAUUAAAUUGUCGCCAUAAUAAUAUGUUUGCUGUACAUAUUCUUCCCUGGUCGUCGCGGUGAUUCUCUGCGCAGGUUUACAAAAAAAAAAAAAAAAACUGAAAAAUUGUUUUAAGCCUCUGUGAACCUCAUUGACGUCAUACCGGCUACGUGUAUUUGUAUACACGUCUGGUGUGUUUACAGGAGUCGUCGGCGGCAGGCGUCAUUGACCUUGGGAACGAACGCAAAACUAUGUCGGCUAAUACCUAUAUACAUAU